rnacentral:rRNA from 1 species
GACGAACGCUGGCGGCGUGCCUAAUACAUGCAAGUAGGACGCAGUUGCGAACGGGUGAGUAACGCGUAGGUAACUACCUAUUAGAGGGGGAUAACUCUUGGAAACGAUAGCUAAUACCGCAUACUAGUAGAUGGACCUGCGUUGUAUUAGCUAGUAGGUAGGGUAAUGGCCUACCUAGGCAACGGUACAUAGCCGAACCGGGAGGGGGAUCGGCCAAACUUGGGACGAGGCACGGCCCAAACCCCUACGGGAGGCAACAGUAGGGGAACUUCGGCAAUUGGGGGAACCCUGACCGGGCAACGCCGCGUGAGUGAAGAAGGUUUUCGGAUCGUAAAGCUCUGUUGGUAAGGGAGCGGUACUUAACCAGAAAGGGACGGCUAACUACGUGCCAGCAGCCGCGGUAAUUC